rnacentral:rRNA from 1 species
AUUGAACGCUGGCGGCAGGCUUAACACAUGCAAGUCGAGCGGGGGAAGGUAGCUUGCUACCGGACCUAGCGGCGGACGGGUGAGUAAUGCUUAGGAAUCGGCCUAUUAGUGGGGGACAACAUCUCGAAAGGGAUGCUAAUACCGCAUACGUCCUACGGGAGAAAGCAGGGGAUCUUCGGACCUUGCGCUAAUAGAUGAGCCUAGGUCGGAUUAGCUAGUUGGUGGGGUAAAGGCCUACCAAGGCGACGAUCUGUAGCGGGUCUGAGAGGAUGAUCCGCCCCACUGGGACUGAGACACGGCCCAGACUCCUACGGGAGGCAGCAGUGGGGAAUAUUGGACAAUGGGGGGAACCCUGAUCCAGCCAUGCCGCGUGUGUGAAGAAGGCCUUAUGGUUGUAAAGCACUUUAAGCGAGGAGGAGGCUACUCUAGUUAAUACCUAGGGAUAGUGGACGUUACUCGCAGAAUAAGCACCGGCUAACUCUGUGCCAGCCGCCGCCGUAA